AAGAUGUGGAGCCCCCAGCCCAGCAGACAAUAGGCACCAGAGGGAAGGUGAGCCCAGUGAGCAAGGCAGUGCACCGACUUCUAAUGUACAGUCCAACGUGAUGGGGACCCUGCCUGAGAUGUACGCAGCCUCACAGGGCUGAAGCCAACUCACAAUGAGGUGAUGAGCACGGUUCGGUCCUCUCGAGCUGUCCUUGUAGGUAAUCUCUGAGUAUUAAAA